CGAUACGAAGUUAAAAAAAAAACCCAUUCUCCGUCCUGGAACCCUACCGCCCUGCGUUUUUUUUAUUCCUUCGCCCGUCGCCGGCGACUCUUAAACUGUAAAACCUAAUGCCAAUUCGAAGGGAGAGAGGGGAGGGAGAAUAAAGCGACGAACCGCCUUCUCUUUGGAUCCAAAGGGUUCCAAAGUGGUGGCGACUCCGGCGGUGGCGAUGGUGGUGUCUAUCGUCGGCGGCGGAGCCGGAGGAGGAUCGGCUCUUCCACCAACAGGUCAUAGGCGACCAUGUAAUUAGUUAAUCUUUCUUUCUCCCUCUCUUUGAUUACCUUUGGGCCCGCCUCCCCCCGCCGUCGAUCGCCACCACCCACCGUCAUCUCCUCGUCUCCUUCGCUAUCCCCCGAUCCAAACCCUAGAAAGAUCCAAUCGCUCUAGCGUAUUCCUCCGGUGGUCUCGACCGAUUCUUGGGCUGUCCGACCUCUGCUCCUUCGAAAUCAUCCGAUCUUUGGUUCCUCGCUUUAACUCCGAUUCGCUGAUCGUCCGAAAGAAUGUCUCUUUUUAUCUCGUUCCAUCGUCGGAGUUCGGAAGGAACAAAUUCACACGAAAAAAGGAAAAAAAAGUGGUGCAUUUCUUGCUGACGUUUCCCUAGAUUUUUGGGUUCUCUCUAUCUCGGAUUGGAAAAAAAAUGGUUCUUUUCUUACCUUCUUAGUGACUUCUUUCUAUUAUACCUUCGAUGCUGUUUUCAAGCUUCCUUUCUCUUUUCUAAAGACGGAGCAAGGGCAUCCGAUGGGUUCACGGUCUUAUUCUUUUAGACUGGAAUUCAUGGUUUUAUUUCGGUGGCGCUUUCUAUAUGGGUAGUUUUUCACCGGGUUGAAGAAUGCGGAGAGUUACAAGGGGCACUUGGUAAAUUCUGAUGCCUGGAUGACAUUCACCUCCCGGAGGUUAUCUCUACUUCAAAGGCAUCUUUUUGCCAAAACAAUGAUGUAGGUAUAAUCUGGAGGAGUGCUGCCUGAGACAUUCCUGGCAUUUAGACCUAGGGGGGAAAGAUGCUUCCUCUGUUUGCUGUUAUAUCUUCAUUCUGAUUCUCUUUUGAAGACUUGUAUCUGACUGGGCUGUUUAACAACCUCUCACUCCAAUGGUUUAGAAAAUUGUUGCUCUGACCUUUAUUUCUAAUUUGUGGUGCAUAUCUAAAA